UUGGUAUAAUAGGUACUUAAGUUGAUCUAACAUGCUGAGGUUUUUUAGAGUGUUGGGGCGGUAAUAAUUUUGUCUUAAUUUCACUCAAGUUUUAUAAAAUAGGAAACCUUUAUACUUGUUGAGUGUGUUGAAUUUUGUUAUGGCUCAAGAAAAUUGAGGAGAAUAGAUAAUAAAAAAUUUCACACUAGGGACUUGACUUAAGAAUUUUUUUUUUUUUUGAAAGGGAAAUAACAUACUUGAAAGGGAAAUAAACAUACUUGAAAG
rnacentral:lncRNA from 1 species